GGGAGGCCAGCUGAGUGACGCUAACAUAAUCCAGAUGAGAAGUGAGGAUGCCUGAGGAAUGGUGGUGGAUACUGCAAUGAAAACAUGGAAACAUCAUUGAUUGUGCCUGAAGCUUGCUGAGAGCUGUGCUAGGAGCUCCACAGAAAAGAUGGAAUGAAGAGCCUUCUACUAUGCCUGGGAGGAGCCACAGCUGCAGCCAGGGAUUCCCCAGAUCCUUGGGAUAUAUCUUCUGGUUGAAGUCCCCCCAAGGCAGUGGACAAAGCAAGGACAACAAAAAGAAAAAUAAAUAAAUGGAACUACAUCCAACCAAAGAGCUUUUUGCACAAUGAAGGAAACGAUCAAAAUGAAAAGGUAUUUGCAAGUGAUAUAUCUCAUAAGGGGUUAAUAUGCAAAAUAUAUAAGUAACUGAAUUCAGUAUUUA